rnacentral:lncRNA from 1 species
ACAGACAGACAGACACCUACACAUAAUUCAAAAAAUAAAUUUGCAAAUCACAGUAUCAUACCUGUAUACCCUGCAGGUAUACAGAAAUUAUGCAUUUUCUUCCUUUUGGGUUUUCAUUACGUGGUUAUACCUUAUCUCUAAACCUUUCCUUUUGUUAGUAAAAAAUACAGAUUUUCUAUAGUAUUCAUUCAUAUUGUAUUUUGGAUAUCUGAGUGGUAAUAAGGGAUUACUGGACCAGUGAAUUCCUAUUUUACUUCUCCUUACAUACAGUGUUGGUUUCCUAGGCAUUUAAAGUCUUAGCUGUUACCACAUUUUUAAAAGUCUGAUGAGCUUAAAAGUGACACAUAUUUUCAUUUUUUUGUGAAGAUUAUUUGCACAUCAAUUAAACAAUGCUAUAUACUCAGGGCCAUUUUUUACACAAAAUUUUUAUUUUCAGGACUUUUAUAAUUAAUAUUUGGUAUUUGGAUAUCCAUAUAAAAGCAAUCCUGAAUGCCAAGCAGAAAAGAAUAGACUCUGAAAUCCACAAAAUGCCAGGAAAAAUAUUUAAAAUAUGGCCAUUUUAUAUUCAUGGCACAGUCAAAAUCCAAAAUUGGCUCUAUCACCUAAAGUUCCUGGGGAUUCCGAGAAAAACAGUUUUCAUGCAUUGCUUAUGGAAAGUUUUUCUAAAAAGUAAUCUGACCAAUCAAUAAAAUUUAAAAUACUUAUACUUUUGAAGCAAACAAACAUAUUCUAGGGAAACCAAUAUGAUAGACGUUAAACAAUUAAACAGUUGUAAAAUUUAUGCCUGACUAUUAAAAUUAAGUGUUAAUAGAAUAGAAGAGUAAUUUUAAAUAGAGACAACUCAUAAAAAUAGAUUGCUACAGAAAAUUUUCACAAUUAAUGCUUAGAGGGGAAAAGAGUAUAUUAGGAUCUAAGCAUCUCUCUAGAGGUAGAAAGCUAAUGAGACCACGUGAUACUAUGAACCAGCAAAAUUCCUGCUAAAAUAUGCUGGAUAAAGUAUGCUCCUUCAAUGCGUAGGAACAGUCCACUUGAACAGUACUUGGCAUAGUUUUAUGUUGGGCUGAAUAUUCUUCAUCUCAAAGAUGACAGAAUUAUUAGCCUCAGGAGACACUUCUGAUAUACUCUUGGCUUCUGGGAGCAUUGCCAGUUUCAGAAGAAAAAAAUGUGAAGUGUGUGAGACUUGUCUUAGGUGAUAGCCUUGCCCACCCAUUCCCCACUUGUUUAACAUAUCCAGUUCUGGGCACCAACAGUCUUGGGAGAAUGCCCAGGUUGGACCUAUCACGUGGGAUCCACUGUUAGUGACUCUUGGAAAUGUACCUCCCGACAUCAUGUUUCAGCUCCUGCAAUGUCACCUGUGUAUGCAAAUUCAUUGUCAUCCUCCAGAGACAAGGUUACUGCCCCUAGCUUAAGGACACAUUUUAGCUGAGGUCCCUGGUCGUUAUUAAAUUGAAAACCCCCACUAAAUGGCCCUUGAGCUUCUUUCUACUACGAGAAAAAGGUCUGAAGGUAUGUGAGGGGCAGGCGAAGAGUCAGAAAUACAUACUGUAUAUUUCAUGAUGCCCUUGUGUCUCUCUUCAGAGGCCUCAGUGAUUGGCUGAGAGGACACAGGAGCUGUCCUAUCUUGUUUACUUAAUGUUCAUCACUUAGAUCUAAAUUUUUGCAUCUGUCUGUAUCUACCUGUAUAUGCAAAAAUCCCCCAAGAACCCUUAUCACAUCCUAAGACAGGAGUCUAGCUACACCAAAUCGGAACUCAUUUAAUCCUAACAUUUCCCCCAAUGCUGCAUUUUAUUGCUCAGACUUAUGCCUCUCUUAACCUUUUUGAAAUGACCUUGAGCAAGCUUAUUAGGUUAUUUAUUACUUGACUUGAAAGUAGAAGAUAGAACUUUCCCUCAUAAACCUCACAGGAACGUCAUGAUUGGUUAAGUUCAACCUCCAAAGAUUGUUAGAAAUAAAUGUGUCUGGGUAGGAGAUGCUAGUUGCCCCAUAAUUCUUACAGCACUUGGUAAUAAGCCAUUUGAGGCACACUUGGGCUUGCUGUCAUGUUUUGAAUUAUAUUUUCUCAAGUCUUACUUCUCACCUGUACUGAAUCAAUACAGAAUUAUUCCUGGAAGGAAUUAGGAAUCAAUGACUGCUCCCUCCCUCUCAGAGUCCUCAGAGUCCCCACUGAAUUAUUUUACCACUUUGAAGCAGAUAUGAUUAGGUUUUAUUUAUUACCUUUAAAAGAAGCCAUGCAAAAUAACUUUAAAAUCAGGCAGGAAAGAAUAAUAUUUGGUUAAGUGAAAUGUCACGAUGCUAAUUAUUCACUAAAACCCAUUUUGCUCUUCUGUGGAAUUUCGUAUAAGAGGUGUCUG